rnacentral:pre_miRNA from 16 species
GGGUCUCUUUCACUGGACCAGAUUUGAGCCUGGGAGCUCUCUACCAGUGAAGGAACCCAC